rnacentral:rRNA from 1 species
GAUGAACGCUGGCGGCGUGCCUAAUACAUGCAAGUCGAGCGAACCACUUCGGCGGUGAGCGGCGAACGGGUGAGUAACACGUAGGUGAUCUGCCCAUCAGACGGGGACAACGAUUGGAAACGAUCGCUAAUACCGGAUAGGACGAAAGUUUAAAGGUGCUUCCGGCACCGCUGAUGGAUGAGCCUGCGGCGCAUUAGCUAGUUGGUAGGGUAAAGGCCUACCAAGGCGACGAUGCGUAGCCGACCUGAGAGGGUGAACGGCCACACUGGGACUGAGACACGGCCCAGACUCCUACGGGAGGCAGCAGUAGGGAAUCUUCGGCAAUGGGCGAAAGCCUGACCGAGCAACGCCGCGUGAAUGAUGAAGGCCUUCGGGUUGUAAAAUUCUGUUAUAAGGGAAGAACGACUUUAGUAGGAAAUGGCUAGAGUGUGACGGUACCUUAUGAGAAAGCCACGGCUAACUACGUGCCAGCCGCCGCUGUAA